rnacentral:rRNA from 1 species
CCCUUAGAUGUUCUGGGCCGCACGCGCGCUACACUGACGAAGUCAGCGAGCAUGUCCUACGCCGACAGGUGCGGGGAAUCUUGUCAAACUUCGCCGUGAUGGGGAUUGAUUAUUGAAAUUCUUGAUCAUCAACGAGGAAUUCCUAGUAAGCGCAAGUCAGCAGCUUGCGUUGAUUACGUCCCUGCCCUUUGUACACACCGCCCGUCGCUACUACCGAUUGAAUGGUUUAGUGAGAUCUUCGGAUUGGCGCCACUGCGGCUCAGCAAUGGGCUCGGUGGAUGCCGAAAAGUUGAUCAAACUUGAUCAUUUAGAGGAAGUAAAAGUCGUAACA